AAGAGCAACUAUUCAGACAAGCCACCUGACAUUCGUGAGAGCCUGUAGCCACUGCACCCUGAGCGUUAUCAGGUAGGCGCACAUCUUCCAUGAUAUGGAACUUGUCAGACGGAGCCCGUGCAGAAGUCGAGUUGGUCUGGCACUGCAAUGGUGUGUUCCUCUUGCACCCACCACUGUAAUCCUGGAGAUCCCAGUCAGUCUGAACCUUCUGGCUGA
rnacentral:rRNA from 1 species